AACGAACGCUGGCGGCAUGCUUAACACAUGCAAGUCGAACGGUGGCUUCGGCCACAGUGGCGCACGGGUGAGUAACGCGUGGGAACCUGCCUUGGAGUUCGGAAUAACCGCGGGAAACUGCGGCUAAUACCGGAUAUUGCCUUCGGGUGAAAGAUUUAUCGCUCCGAGAGGGGCCCGCGUCCGAUUAGCUAGUUGGUGAGGUAACGGCUCACCAAGGCUCCGAUCGGUAGCUGGUCUGAGAGGAUGAUCAGCCACACUGGGACUGAGACA
rnacentral:rRNA from 1 species